AGAGAAUAGGCUACAGUGUAGGCCUAGAAGAUUAUUGUUUGUAACAUUAGGCUACUGAAUCUUAAAAAAAAAGAAGUGUUCAUAUUUUUAUAUCCAUCUCGAAAUGUAAAUACUUUCCGUAUCAGGUGUCACUUGCAGUGAAGUACUUUGGCAGUUUCCAAUAAUAUAUGUCCAAACAUACACAUAUAAAUAUACUUCCUGACAGACAGGCAGAAAAUGACUCAGAACAGAAGCGACGCUGUCAUAAGACAUCAUAUAUUAAUAAGGGUAAAACCCGAGGCUGGGCGGGUGAGGAGAGCCAUCUCUAUUUCCAUUUUUAGCUUGCGCAGAGGACACUUUAGAAAACGAAGAUGUCUCAGGCACUUUUCUUUGUGUUUUAUCUCUUUAUUUUUUCUUUGUCCCUCCUCACAUGAACAGAUAGUAUUAGGGCUGCAUAAACAUGACACGUUCUAG
ensembl:lncRNA